ensembl:snoRNA SNORA66 Small nucleolar RNA SNORA66
GGGCAAAUGCUACCACCAGUUCUGCAAGGCCUAGUGAAGGGGAGUCAGGACCGCUGGUGUAACUGUGUGGCUAGAAAUAUAUUAGCCUCAGGAGCUGUGAGGUGGCCCAUUCUACCCCAGUGCAGGC